UACGUAGGGUGCAAGCGUUGUCCGGAAUUAUUGGGCGUAAAGAGCUCGUAGGCGGUCUGUCACGUCUGCUGUGAAAACUCGGGGCUUAACCCCGGGCCUGCAGUGGGUACGGGCAGACUAGAGUGCGGUAGGGGAGACUGGAAUUCCUGGUGUAGCGGUGAAAUGCGCAGAUAUCAGGAGGAACACCGGUGGCGAGGGUGGGUCUCUGGACAGUUCCUGACGCUGAGGCACGAAGGCCAGGGGAGCAAACGGG
rnacentral:rRNA from 1 species